UCACAUAUCGACAUGAUAUCGACGGUUCGAUGUAAGGUCGAAGUGUGGACGGUUUGGGACCGGGAAAGUCCUCUCCACUGACGACACAAUCUUCCUCCCUCCACUUUCAGGUUAAUUCUGUACACAAUAUACUACUCACUUUUGAAUGCCUUGUGUAACAGUAAUUCGCUCGCUCGAGACACAUUUUCUAGUGAUAACGUGACUUUUUUAAAACUGAUUACAAGCAGACAGUACUUGAGACUCUAGGGAAAUUGGGCAUGGAAAAGCUUAGCAGGUUUUGAGAUGUAAUUUAUAUCGCUUGUCACUUACUACAGCUACUGUAAAUAUGGCUCUUUUUAAUUGUAAUGUGCGAUUCGUAUCAUUAUAAUGAAAAUGAUCUGUCAUUUCUUGUCAUGUGGUACUAAUAAGACUAACUAGYAGAGUAUUGCUAACCGAACUUUGGAUAAUCGACAUUUUACCUUCUUUCGGCUAUAGUUUUGUCAGGCUUAUAAGGUCAAUAUUGGCCCUUCGUACCCGCCUGUAGAAAUUGUUGCACGUUGAUCAUUCAUUUCAAGUUCGUCAUUUACUGGUUUUGUCAGCUAUUGGUUCGUAUAAAAGAAGCAUAAAGGGUAAAAUUGUGCACUCGUUUCUGGAAACACAUCAACCAUAUCACGACUAUUCUACAAGGAAGCACAGGUCCUAAACCUGUAUUCACAAGACUGUCAUGWUAAUGACUGUUUGUCUUAUCUAUUUGGUGGUUGUCAUUGGCAAAGCYUCCUUUGUCAAAGCGGCCACUGAGAACUUUGAAGUCAGGAUCUACACACAUCAAAUUACAAGCAAUGUCAGCAUCAGCGCAGACGAAAAGUAUGGGUUAUAUGUUAAGAUGUACGGUACAGUUGGUUAUACCGUGUACGCUAGAA